rnacentral:lncRNA from 1 species
CUCCUGAACAUGAACUAUAUAAUCAACCUUAACCAAAACACCUUUACGAUUCUUCGUCCUCAGCCCAAGAACCAUGAUUUCAGAUAUAGUACAAACACACUGAUUAUCUUCACUAUGCAGCACCAAUGCCUUCAAUUAUGAUCAAUCACAAUGCCUCCAAAAUCAAAAGCCCCAAAGACCCAAAAAGGUAGAUUAUAGAAUCAGAAACAACACAUAAGAAUGUUCCAAAUCUGAAUGAUUA